rnacentral:lncRNA from 1 species
ACGUCUUUAUAAGUUUGUUAAUUGCUAAAGAUAAGAAAGGUCAAUUAUAUAUCAAACAUUAAUCAUUGCCGAAAUUGUACAAAGAUGACCCCAACUAUGCUGCUCCUACUUUUGAUAGCUGCUUGUAGUAUUCAGACGCUAAACGCUUGGAAGUCUUGCUUGUUCUGUUCCGAUGUGGUUGACACCGACUGAUUGCUCAAGAAUACAAAGAUGUGGUCCAAAUGAGGAGUGCUUCACGGACAUGUAUGUAACUGCAGUCGGUGGUACACGAUAUAACUUAGGUUGUAGAGAUACAAGGCAAUGUACCCGCGCACAAGCGGACAUUGAAGACAUGGGAAAUAUCAUGAUCUGUAGUGAAUGCUGUUCUGGAAAUGUGUGUAACAAUGCUGGAUGUAAAUAUAAAGGUUAUCCAUCUCCUCGAGGCCCGAUCUGUAAUAACUGUGCGCUGCAAGCUGAUAUUGAUGACUGUGACAAAAUAACAAUGUGUCAACAGGACUGAGGUUUGCAUGCUUCAGAAAGCAUUUAAUCCAGCGACACAUGAGUCUCGGUACAAAACACACUGCGAAAAAGAAGCGGUCUGUUAUGACAAAAUCCAAAAGCUCAAACGUGCAAUAGAAUCAAUAGUUGGAAAGCGACAAACACAGAACAUUCUACGUUAUGGGGGUGGUCCCAUGUCUGAUGAAGUGCUGCGACACCGACAUGUGUAAUAACAACUGCAAUGGAACAUCCCAAUCUGAUUACAUUGCCAAUUAAACACUGCCUUAGAACUCACUUUAAAUAAACUUUAUAGUGAG